ensembl:lncRNA
AGCCAGCACCAAAGUUCUUAUAAUCCCCAUAUAAAAAGGAACCAGGCUUCUUCUCAUGUUCAGAAGUGCAAAUACGGUUCUGUACUGCUGUUCUGUCUCCUUUAUUUGUUGAAGCACAGAUACCAGGCUGAGAGGCAUUGUGCUGGUGGUUGUCCCACCAACGCGUCCUGCUGCUUCUUGAGCCUUUUACUCACCUGUUUAUAUGGAUAUGCUCAGAGGUGUAUAACCAUGGGAGUAUACAUUCUCAUGUUCCCAUGAAUGGCUGGCUUUUCAAUACUUGCAGAUCAGUGUUUUCAAAUGCAUGCUGCCCUUUUACCCUGUGUGCAGUUCGCCUCUAAGCUCUGCCUGAAUAUCUGCUGUUCAGAAGACAACCUUCGUCCCUGUGAAUGUGACCUACAUUGCUGGUUCUUUGGCAUCUGAUGUGACACCGAGAUGUGCUGAAGCACGUGGCGGUCAAAUGCGUCCCUCUACCCAGCAGAUCCGGGAGAUUGUGACAAGAAGAGGAAACAGCACAGCAUAAGCGAUCUCUCCUGAUAAAGAUCUUGUGAGCAGAGAAGAGCAGAGGAAGUGGGACACGUGUGACGAUUCCUAUGACGGUAUGUGGGCCUCCUCACCAGGCAGUCUGCUGGGACUUGGGCUGAAACGUUGGGAAUUUGGUUAAACUUGGAGAUAGUUUUGUCUUUUGUUGUUGUUGUUGUUUUUUAAUUACGUGAAGUGAAUGGGAACUUCUUGUUUUGUAGCUACAUAAGGGCUUCUGAGGCUGAAAUUGUCCAAUGGCAAUAGAAUGGCCGUUCUUCCUCUGGCCCACAAAUGCACCUGAGGUGUGACAUGAGGCACCACACUUCUCUCAUGUCAGCAUCUCUAUAACAGGCCUCAUGUGUGACUUGGACUCCUAUUUUUGAGAGCUGGGCUGGAGCACCAGUGUUGUCUCACCUGGGCACCACCGGGUUGGUAUCGGGGGUGGUGACAAGGAGAGCUACAAAGAUCUGGUUUAAAUAGUUCUGUUGAAGAACUCGAAAGGUUUUAAACCUCAUGUCAUCGUUGUAAGGCUUUGGUGGGUUUAUGAUGUUUUAUAGAUGCAUCAUCUAUAGGAUUGCCUUAAGGGUGACAGAGGUCCACCUGUACUGCAGCUGUAAUCCAUCCAGCAGUGCACAGAUACCAAGUACCAAAGCAUGGAGUGAGAUGGAGCCUCCUCUGAAGGCAGCAGCCUCUCCAGACACCCUGCCAAGCUGAGCCUGGACUUUGGAGGUGAGUGGACAGCCGGAUUUCCUCCUCUGAUCAGGACACCCACCUGUGUAGAAGCACAUGCCCUUCCCAUGUGACAACUGUUGGGUUGUCUGUUGGGGCUUUGCAGCUAUGUUGGAUUUCAAAGCAGCAAUGGCAGUGGUGUUUGGUUUUUCACCCUCAUAUGGACACAAGGGCAUGAAGAAUUGAGUUGAGGAGGGGAAGAAAACAGUCAAAUUUCAUGAAGUUCACCAAAGAAUAGGUGAUUCAUAGCUGAGAGUUGCUUGUAGCAGACGGGGUGGGGUUAGCUAAUUCACCCAUGUGAGCCAAUUGCACUGCCGGGUGAGAAUAGGCAAUGGUGUGCCUGCAUUUCAUGGAAGGCAAGGGAGAAAGCAGGGAAUGAGAUAAAAGCCUGCUCUCAUGCAAGGGGAAGAAAGGAAUUACCCCAUUUAUUGCAUCUCAGAAAUGUGUGAUGCUUUUCUGUGCAGCACUAAAAAGAGUUGGCUUGAUUUAAUGGAGCUUUUGACAUGAAUGAGAUCAUUCCGAGGUUAGUUCGACCAAAAUAUUAGAAAGACAAAAGUGACUGUACCAUCUUCCCUCCUCACACAAAUAGUUACCUUGCUCCAAUACUUAUAAACACAGAAACACAGGGCUGAAAUGGACUGCAGGAGGAGGAGAGGUAGGUCCUGGCAGUGUGUGACGGAUCUCCCUUGUGCCCCAGAGGAUGCUGUGAUCCACUGAGUUGUGUUUCCCAUUGCACCACAGGAAUCACUGUUUCUGCAAGGCAUGAGGGCUGGAACCACCUGCCCAGCCUCUGGAAAAGGGUUUUGUGCUCAAGCUGCAAUGGACAAGGCUCAGGAUAACCAAAAUGGGCGCUUGCUGAUGCUGUCUUGCUAUUAUAUUUGGCCCUCACCAAGAUAACCAGACAAAGAAGUUUGCAGAUUAUAGCAGAUCAGCCUGUGGUUGGCUUGAACUGAUGCUUUGUUUUAUAGGGGCUGAAUCUUGCAGCAGCUUCAAAGGGCCUGGACUUUUAAAAUGUUUGACGUAAGGGCUUUUUCCAUCUCUUCCCAUUCUAUCCAUCACAGAAGGAAAGCACAAACCAACAAAAGCCCAGUUGCUGCCUGUGACUUUGCCUUCUUUCAUGUUUGUAGUUCUCCUUGCUGUUUGCUGUCUAGUGUUUUUCUGCCUCUAGAGGUGUUACCACAGAAACAAAAGGGGAAGUGAAAUUCUGGUGAUGCAAUAUUUUCCAGGUAAAUUGAAGUUUUGCUACGUGGAGAUGGAAAGAAAAACUGAAGCCCCGUUUUACUUUCAGGUUUCCAAAUACUAUUCUAACGCUC